UUUACCAACUGAGCCACCCAGGCGCCCCCAAUUUUAAUAGUAUUUUCAGAGAACUAAAUUUUUAAGUUUUGAGUUUAGUAUUUUCACAAUCAUUUAGUUUGAAUUACUUGCUCAUUUCCAUUCUGAUUUUUUUCUCAGAAGAGUAUUUCUUGAUUUCCAAACAUAAGGGAUUUUCUGUGUGUGUGUUCGGUAUUCAGUGUUAGCUUCAAUUGCACUGGGGUCAGAGAAUACCAUUCGUAUGAUUUAAGUUCUUCGAAAUUUGUUGAUGUGGCCCAGCGGUAGUCAACUUUUGAACAGGUGUAGGUGUGCUUAAAAGGAAUAUAUAUUCAGAAGUGUUUUGAUUUCAUUAAAAAAAUACUUUCAUUAAGACAAAUUUGUUAACUAAUGCUACUAGAUUAUAUGUUCCGAUUGACUCUUGUCUAUAAAUUACUGAAGUAUAUUACUUCUCCUACCACGGUUUAUUUUUCCUUCUAUUUUGUCAGUUUUUAUUUUCUGAGGUUGUUACUAGGGAAUACUACUUUUUAAUGGUUUUAUCUUUGUGAUGGAUUGAACCUUCUACCAUUUUAAAAUACCCCUCUUUCUCUCUGAAAAUGCAGUUUUAUUUUAGUGUCUGCUUUGCUUGAUAUUAAUAUAGAUGAACUGGCUUUCCUUUGGUGUUUGCACAGUGUGUAUAUUUUGACUUUUUACUUGCAAGUUUGGAUUUGUCUCUUGAAGACCGCAUACACUAGCAGCAAACACCAUUGUGGGAACACCCAUGUGAGUGCGUCAUUGGGGAAAUGCCUGUGAGGGACACGGGGAGGGACAGGGAAAGGGCCGUGGGGAGCCUGGGAGCAUUGUCAGCCCGGGGAAGGCGUGACCUGUGGAUGGAGGGAAGGAGGGCGUCUGGCGCAGUUUUAUGCAGAGUUGUGCAUUCGUUACCACAGUUCAGUCUGAAGCCAUUUUCGUCAUCCUCCGAAGAGUCCUCCCACGUGAUUACAGCUGCACCCCGUUUCUACCCCUCACACCAGGCAACCACCAGCCUAUGUCACUGGAUGGAUCUGCACUUUCUGGACAUUUAAUCCUACCACAUGGGGUCUUUUGCGCUGGAGUCUCCGAAUACGGUUGGAGGCUCCCCGUGUUGUAGCAUCUACUGGGACUCGCUCCGUUUCGGUUACCUGCUUGCAAAUGAUUGGGCUUUGGGUUAUUCCCACUGUUUCACCGUCAUGAAUCACGUUGCUGCGAACGGCCUCGUGCUGCUUGAACAGCAGUCUUCGCGUGGACACGGUUUCAUUGCUCCGGGCUCUACACCCAACAUGGAGCUCAAACUUGUGACCCUGAGAUCAAGAGUCGCUGGCCCUACUGAGUGAGCCAGAGAGCACGAGUGAGCAAGCACACAAGCAGGGGGAGCAGCA